rnacentral:lncRNA from 1 species
AGAUUGGGGGUAUAACUCAGAAUGUUUGCCUAGCAUGCGCAAGAUCUUGGGUUCAAUCAAGAAGAAAAAAAUGGAAAUGGUAAUACAAACUUUACAAAAAGGAUUAUAAGAAAAUAUUACAAACAGUUUUGUUUUUAUGGUGCUGGAGAUUGAAUCCAGGGCUUUGUGCAUGCAAGGCAAGCACUCUACCAACUGAAUAUAUCCACAGCCCCAUGAACAGUUUUAUGCUAACAAAUAAUCUAGAUGAAAUGGACAGAUUGGUAGACAAUGAUAAAACUGACCCUAGAAGAAAAUCUGAACAGAGCUAUAACAAAAACAUAGACACAUUCAUCAAAAUCCUUUUAGGGCUGGGAUUGUGACUCACUGGUAGAGUGCUUGUCUAGCAUGUGCGAGGCAUUGGGUUCGAUCCUCAGUACCUAAAAAUAGGUAAAAUAAAGGUAUUAUGUCCAACCACAACUUAAAAAAAACAGGACUAUAUGGUAAAUUCUGCCAAACAUUGAAGAACAGACAGCAGGCUUUCUGGAACUCUCACAAACAUUGGAGAGGAGGGAACACUUUUUAAUUCAUCUGGGAGGCUGGCCUCCCCUCUCACACUGCCGCAAUCCCUUCCACUGGGCCUCCCGUGCAGGGAGCAGCUUCCCAGUCUGCUCCUUUAGCUUUACCCACUCAAAGGCUCCUUGCCACCUCCAAGCUCCCAGUAGCCAUUGAAACAGUCUACAUGCCAGCACUGGGGACCAUUCAGGGCAGAUUUGACCUAGGUCGGUUCAAAGAGAGGAGCCAGGAACUGGUGCUGUGGCAUACACCUGUAAUCCCAGUGACUUGGGAGGCUGAGGCAGGAGGAUCACAAGUUCAAAGCUAGUCAGCAACUUAAUGAGGCCCUAAGCAACUUAGCAAGAACCUGUCUCAGACUAAAAAUAAAAAGGGCUGGGAAUGUGGCUCAGUGGUAAAGUGCCCCUGGGUUAAAUCCCUAGUACCCACCCCACACACCAAAAAUAAAUAAAUAAAUAAAAAUCAGAAAGUGGAAUACAUUGAUGUGAAGUACAGUGGGGUUUGAUAUGUGCAUACACCUGUGUCCCUGCCAGCCCAAACCAGGCUGAACCCCCAACCCUUAAUUUUAC